rnacentral:rRNA from 1 species
UUAUAACCGGCGAUUUCCGAAUGGGGAAACCCAGUGUGUUUCGACACACUAUCAUUAACUGAAUCCAUAGGUUAAUGAGGCGAACCGGGGGAACUGAAACAUCUAAGUACCCCGAGGAAAAGAAAUCAACCGAGAUUCCCCCAGUAGCGGCGAGCGAACGGGGAGGAGCCCAGAGCCUGAAUCAGUGUGUGUGUUAGUGGAAGCGUCUGGAAAGGCGCGCGAUACAGGGUGACAGCCCCGUACACAAAAAUGCACAUAUUGUGAGCUCGAUGAGUAGGGCGGGACACGUGGUAUCCUGUCUGAAUAUGGGGGGACCAUCCUCCAAGGCUAAAUACUCCUGACUGACCGAUAGUGAACCAGUACCGUGAGGGAAAGGCGAAAAGAACCCCGGCGAGGGGAGUGAAAAAGAACCUGAAACCGUGUACGUACAAGCAGUGGGAGCCUCUUAAUGGGGUGACUGCGUACCUUUUGUAUAAUGGGUCAGCGACUUAUAUUCUGUAGCAAGGUUAACCGAAUAGGGGAGCCGAAGGGAAACCGAGUCUUAACUGGGCGUUAAGUUGCAGGGUAUAGACCCGAAACCCGGUGAUCUAGCCAUGGGCAGGUUGAAGGUUGGGUAACACUAACUGGAGGACCGAACCGACUAAUGUUGAAAAAUUAGCGGAUGACUUGUGGCUGGGGGUGAAAGGCCAAUCAAACCGGGAGAUAGCUGGUUCUCCCCGAAAGCUAUUUAGGUAGCGCCUCGUGAAUUCAUCUCCGGGGGUAGAGCACUGUUUCGGCAAGGGGGUCAUCCCGACUUACCAACCCGAUGCAAACUGCGAAUACCGGAGAAUGUUAUCACGGGAGACACACGGCGGGUGCUAACGUCCGUCGUGAAGAGGGAAACAACCCAGACCGCCAGCUAAGGUCCCAAAGUCAUGGUUAAGUGGGAAACGAUGUGGGAAGGCCCAGACAGCCAGGAUGUUGGCUUAGAAGCAGCCAUCAUUUAAAGAAAGCGUAAUAGCUCACUGGUCGAGUCGGCCUGCGCGGAAGAUGUAACGGGGCUAAACCAUGCACCGAAGCUGCGGCAGCGACACUAUGUGUUGUUGGGUAGGGGAGCG